GAGGGGUGUUGGGGGUGUAGAGGAGUGUACGUGGGUGACAGAGGAGCGCAGAGUAGUAUACAUGGAUAACAGAAGGGUGUAGGGGUGUACAUUGGUAAUAGAGGGGUGUAGAGGAGUGUACAUGGGUGACGGAGGAGCUUAGAGGAGUGUAAAUGGGUAACAGAUGGGUGUAGAGUGGUGUACAUGGGUGACAGAGCGGUGUAGAGGAGUGUACAUGGGUAACAGAGGAGUGUAAAGGAGUGUACAGAGGUCUACAUUACCAUUACUUGAUUAACUGUUGUAUAUUAUAUAAAAUAUGUUACGAAAAUAUAUAUUAUAUUUUAAGUUCCUUUUUCCACUCCUUUUUCCAUAAUUCCUGAGAUAAGUAGUUCUGGCCCUAGAGUGUUAUAUAUAUUAGCGUCUGUAGCAUGUAUCAGGAACAUGUUAUCAUACCUGUGUCUUUUUUACAGAGGACUGAUGCCCGGGGAAUAGGUGAACGUGACAUAUACCCCCGUCAGCUGCAAGAAAGGAACCACGACACAGAGGACUGAUGCCCGGUGAAAAGGUGAACGUGACAUAUACCCCCGUCAGCUGCAAGAAAGGAACCAUGAAACAGAGGACUGAUGCCCGGGGAAUAGGUGAACGUGACAUAUACCCCCGUCAGCUGCAAGAAAGGAACCACGACACAGGUAAUUAAUAUUUAUAUUAAUUACUGAUAACAAUCAGGCUAGAUGUAAAAUCUAGACCUGCAGACAUGUCAUAGUCUUUCCCGUAUACAUGAAGAUAUAUGUGUUUUUAAUAAGCAUAUCGUCUAUGGACAGCUUUAUAUAUAACACAACCAUAUCUCAGGUACAGAGAUUAGGAACAUUCAUGAUCCUUAUUCUCUGUUUUUUAUUUGUAGGAAUCCCCUUUUUCAAUAUUUAAUAGAAGUUUACUUUAGACCAGUGUUUCCCAAACUUUUUCACCUCGGGGCACCCCUUGGAAAAAACUAUUUUCGCAGGGAAUCCAUACCAAAGUGGACCGGUAAAAAGGUAGCAGAAAGGUGAACAUGGGUAACAGGAGUGUCGAGGAGUGUACAUGGGUGGCAGAGUGGUUUAGAGGAGUGUAUAUGGGUGAUAGAUGGGUGUACAUGGGUGACAGGGGGUGUAUGGGGUGACAGAGGGGUGAACAUGGGUGACUGAGGUGUGUUGGGGUGUAGAGAUGUGUACAUGGGUGGCAGAGUGGUUUAGAGGAGUGUAUAUGAGUGAUAGAUGGGUGUAAAUGGGUGAAAGGGGGCUUAGGGGAUGACAGAGUGGUGUAUAUUGGUGACAGAGAGGUGUUGGGGAUGUAGAGGAGUCUACGAGGGUGACAGAGGAGCGCAGAGUAGUAUACAUGGAUAACAGAAGGGUGUAGGGGUGUACAUUGGUGAUAGAGGGGUGUAGAGGAGUGUACAUGGGUGACGGAGGAGCUUAGAGGAAUGUAAAUGGGUAACAGAGGGGUAUAGAGGAGUGUACAUGGGUGACAGAGGGGUGUAAAGGAGUGUACAUGGGUAACAGAGGAGUGUAGAGGAGUGUACAGAGGCCUACAUUACCAUUACUUGAUUAAAUGUUGUAUAUUAUAUAAAACAUUUAGAUAAAAUAUUUUACAAAAAUAUACAUUAUAUUUUAAGUUCCUUUUUCAACUCCUUUUUCCAUAAUUCCUGAGAUAAGUAGUUCUGGCCCUAGAGUGUUAUAUAUAUUAGCAUCUGUAGCAUGUAUC